UAUAGGAGAUUUGGGACCCACACCAGGUA
rnacentral:piRNA from 1 species